AUUGAACGCUGGCGGCAGGCCUAACACAUGCAAGUCGAACGAGUGGCGGACGGGUGAGUAAUGUCUUGGAAACUGCCCGAGGGAGGGGGAUAACUACUGGGAACAGUAGCUAAUAACCCAUACUAUUGCAUGUGCCCAAAUGGGAUUAGCUAGUUGGGGGGGUAACGGCUCACCUAGGCGCCGAUCCCUAGCUGGUCUGAGAGGAUGACCAGCCACACUGGAACUGAGACACGGUCCAGACUCCUACGGGAGGCAGCAGUGGGGAAUAUUGCACAAUGGGCGCAAGCCUGAUGCAGCCAUGCCGCGUGUAUGAAGAAGGCCUUCGGGUUGUAAAGUACUUUCAGCGAGGAGGCGUUACUCGCAGAAGAAGCACCGGCUAACUCCGUGCCAGCAGCCGCGGUAAUUC
rnacentral:rRNA from 1 species